rnacentral:rRNA from 1 species
AUGGAGGUGCUUGAUUUGUCCGGCAACCAAUUGGUGGGCACCAUCCCAUCGUGGAUUGGUGAGCUUCACCACCUUUGCUACUUGGAUCUCUCAAACAAUUCAUUGGUUGGCGAUGCACCUAAGAGUUUGGCACUGCUAAAGGGGCUCGCCCCUGAUGGGCGUUCACCGGGCAUGGUUUUCACUAACAUUCCAUCGUAUGUGAAGCAUAACAGAAGCACACUCGGACGACGACUUAACGACCUCCCAAAUGUCAUCACAGGGACCAACAACUUUGUAACAUCUGGGAGCAACAAUGUUUUAUCGGGGAAUGACAACACAGUCAUAUUUGGGGAUGAAAACACCGUAUCUGGGAACAACCAUGCUAUAUAUGGGGAUGGGAACACGGUAUCUGGGAACAACCAUGUCGUAUCUGGGAGCAAGCAUGUUGUAUCCGGGAGUAGGCAUGGCGUAACUGGGAGAAGUAGUGUGGUAUCUGGGUUCAACAAUGGCGUAUCUGGGAUCAACCAUGUUGUAUCGGGGAGUAACAAUGUCGUAUCCGGGAGCAACAAUGUUGUAUCUGGGAUGAACCAUAUUGUGUCUGGAAACAACAAAGUAAUAACAUGA